rnacentral:rRNA from 1 species
AAUCGCUAGUAAUCGCGGAUCAGCAUGCCGCGGUGAAUACGUUCCCGGGCCUUGUACACACCGCCCGUCACACCAUGAGAGUCGGGAACACCCGAAGUCCGUAGCCUAACCGCAGGGGGGCGCGGCCGAAGGUGGGUUCGAUAAUUGGGGUGAAGUCGUAACAAGGUAUC